AGAGGCAAACCGGCCGAAAGGCCGGGACGCAAAGCCAGGAGGCUAAAGCGGCUGUGCCGCCAGGCUCGUCCGGCCGCCA
rnacentral:ncRNA from 1 species